rnacentral:rRNA from 1 species
AUUGAACGCUGGCGGCAUGCCUUACACAUGCAAGUCGAACGGUAACAGGGAGCUUGCUCCGCUGACGAGUGGCGAACGGGUGAGGAAUGUAUCGGAACGUACCUUUCAGUGGGGGAUAACGUAGCGAAAGUUACGCUAAUACCGCAUAUUCUGUGAGCAGGAAAGCAGGGGAGCUGCGGGCCUUGGGCUGAUUGAGCGGCUGAUAUCAGAUUAGCUAGUUGGUGGGGUAAAGGCUCACCAAGGCGACGAUCUGUAGCGGGUCUGAGAGGAUGAUCCGCCACACUGGAACUGAGACACGGUCCAGACUCCUACGGGAGGCAGCAGUGGGGAAUUUUGGACAAUGGGGGCAACCCUGAUCCAGCCAUGCCGCGUGAGUGAAGAAGGCCUUCGGGUUGUAAAGCUCUUUCGGCCGGGAAAAAAUCGCAUGGGCUAAUACCCUGUGUGGAUGAUGGUACCGGAAUAAGAAGCACCGGCUAACUACGUGCCAGCCGCCGCCGUAA